GGCCAGCCCUGACUCAGAGCGAGAGUAGACUAUGUAAGAAAGUGAAUAUCAUGGGGUAAGGAUUACCGGGGGCCUUCUUGGAGACUACAUACUAUAAAAAUAAGGGAAAUAUGGUUAGGAAGGGAGCAGUACUUCUCCGUUAAGUAACAAGAGAUGGAAGAUAUCUUAAGAUUAGUAUAUUGAGACCGUUGGAACAAGUCAGGGAAAUAAUUACAAAGAAAGGGUCUCAGGAACCUAACGUCUACAUCCGGACAGAAGAAAAAGAAUGAUGGCCCCCAGCAGAGCCUAGUUCCUUUGGAUAUAUUUUAGAAAAGUAGAAUAUGGAGGAGAAAAAGCUGAAGGACUGGCAAUGCAGGAUUUGCUCUAGGCUCUUCCUCAGAGCUGAGGUUCCAGAGGGAUCUUUCACAUUUCCUAGAGAGGCUUCCUGUAGGUCACUGCACUCAUUUCAUCAAAAUGGAAAGAGAUCCAGGGGCUCAAGGAAGAUACUCUUUAUUGAUUGAUUGAUUGAUUGAUUGAUUGAUUUUUGCUGAGGAAGAUUUGCCUGGAGCUAACAUCUGUUGCCAAUCUUCCUCUAUUUUGUAUGUAAGCCGGUGUCACAGCAAGGCCACUGACAGACGAACCUUGUAAGUCCGCACCUGGGAACUAAGUCCCCCAAAGCAGAGUGCACCAAACUUAACCACUAGGCCACCAGGGAUGGCCUGGAAGAUACCCUUUAAUAGUAAAACUAACAAAAGUAGUAAACCAGUAAACCUUGUGCAUUGGGAAAACUUGUGAACUUCGUGGAUGUGGCACAGGAUGAAAAACAGUAACUAGAUUGACACCACAUGACUGUUCCUUAUACCAGGUCUGCGCUCUUACAUAGCUGGACCCUCUGUAAACAAGAAUCCUAUCAGCACUACCGGGGCCACCACUGCAUGAAGACAGGGAGGAGGGAAACUAAUUACUGUUGAGGACUUAACAUGUGCCAGGCACUGGGUUAAGUGUUUUCUACACACUGAUCAUUUAACACAAUUCUCCAUAUUUCGCAAAGGUGAAACUGAGGCUUGGAAUAGUUAAAGGCAUCACGGUCUGCUAAUUGUUCCCCAAUAUCCAUUUGUUCCUUCUCCCUUUUAAUACUGGAACCUCCGUAGUUUUAGCUGGGUACACAGCUGACAAACUGGUGACCACAAUUCUUAACCUCCUCUGCAGGUGGGGAUGGCCAGGUGAUUCAGUAAUAGUCAAUGGAAUGUGAGUUGAAUUGAUGUGUGUAAGUUGUAGGUCAUGCCUUUCAAAGCCAUGCCUUCCACUGCGCUAUGUUGCCUCCAUUCCCAGCUGGCAGGAACGGAGAUGUGGUGUUGAGUCAGCUUCCACGAUGCGGAUAACACGCCACCUGAUGGCAUGGCAAAGCCCACGUCUCAGAUGACCACACGAAGCUGCUUACCAGCUUGGACUGCCUGCCAACUUGGACUUUGAAGUACUCACGCUCUCCAGGGCUAAGCAUAGAAAACAAAAGAGCAGGAGGAUAGGGAAAGAAAAUCUCAAAAUGGUGGAAAAUGCCAACAUCUCUU
ensembl:lncRNA